AGCAGCCGCGGUAAUUCCAGCUCCAAUAGCGUAUAUUAAAGUUGUUGCAGUUAAAAAGCUCGUAGUUGAAUUUCGGGGUUAGCAAGUUGGUCGUACCAUCGGUAUGCACUGGCUUUGCUGAUUCCUCCUUCUUGAAGAACUGUGAUGCUAUUAAUUUGGUGUUGCAGGGAAACAGGACUGUUACUUUGAAAAAUUAGAGUGUUUAAAGCAGGCUAACGCUUGAAUACAUUAGCAUGGAAUAAUGAAAUAGGACGUUUGAUCCUAUUUUGUUGGUUUCUAGGAUUGACGUAAUGAUUAAUAGGGAUAGUUGGGGGCAUUAGUAUUCAAUUGUCAGAGGUGAAAUACUUGGAUUUAUUGAAGACUAACUACUGCGAAAGCAUUUGCCAAGGAUGUUUCAUUAAUCAAGAACGAAAGUUAGGGGAUCGAAGACGAUCAGAUACCGUCGUAGUC
rnacentral:rRNA from 1 species